rnacentral:rRNA from 1 species
CCUACGGGAGGCAGCAGUGAGGAAUAUUGGUCAAUGGGCGCUAGCCUGAACCAGCCAAGUAGCGUGAAGGAAGACUGCCCUCUGGGUUGUAAACUUCUUUUAUAUGGGAAUAAAGUGCAGGAUGUAUACUGCUUUGCAUGUACCUUAUGAAUAAGGAUCGGCUAACUCCGUGCCCGCAGCCGCGGUAAUACCGAGGAUUCGAGCGUUUUCCGGGUUUGUUUGGUUUAAAGGGAGCGUAGGCGGGUUGUUAAGUUAGUUGUGAAAGUUUGGGGCUCAACCGUAAAAAUGCAGUUGAUACUGGCAGCCUUGAGUGCAGUAGAGGUAGGCGGAAUUCGUGGUGUAGCGGUGAAAUGCUUAGAUAUCACGAAGAACUCCGAUUGCGAAGGCAGCCUUCUGGACUGUAACUGACGCUGAGGCUCGAAAGUGUGGGUAUCAAACAGGAUUAGAUACCCUUGUAGUC